rfam:Daucus carota subsp. sativus cultivar DH1 chromosome 5, whole genome shotgun sequence.
GUCGAUAUGUCCGAGUGGUUAACUUAAGGAGACAGACUCGAAAUCUGUUGGGCUAGUCCUGCGCAGGUUCGAAUCCUGCUGUCGACG